GCCAGUCAUGUUGGCACAUGUGUGAAGUCCUAGCUACUCAGGAGGUUGAGAUAGGAGAAUUACUUGAGCUUAGGAGUUCAAGGGCAGCCUAGGUAACAUGGUGAGAUCUCUGUCUUUA
rnacentral:sRNA from 1 species